rnacentral:rRNA from 1 species
GAUGAACGCUGGCGGCGUGCCUAAUACAUGCAAGUCGAGCGAACGGACGAGAAGCUUGCUUCUCUGAUGUUAGCGGCGGACGGGUGAGUAACACGUGGAUAACCUACCUAUAAGACUGGGAUAACUUCGGGAAACCGGAGCUAAUACCGGAUAAUAUUUUGAACCGCAUGGUUCAAAAGUGAAAGACGGUCUUGCUGUCACUUAUAGAUGGAUCCGCGCUGCAUUAGCUAGUUGGUAAGGUAACGGCUUACCAAGGCAACGAUGCAUAGCCGACCUGAGAGGGUGAUAGGCCACACUGGAACUGAGACACGGUCCAGACUCCUACGGGAGGCAGCAGUAGGGAAUCUUCCGCAAUGGGCGAAAGCCUGACGGAGCAACGCCGCGUGAGCGAUGAAGGUCUUCGGAUCGUAAAACUCUGUUAUUAGGGAAGAACAUAUGUGUAAGUAACUGUGCACAUCUUGACGGUACCUAAUCAGAAAGCCACGGCUAACUACGUG